UAAGAAGUAAGCUAAACUAAAGCUACUGGGCUCAUACCUCAAUUAUAGAAUUACUCUCUUCUUAA
rnacentral:tRNA from 1 species